rnacentral:rRNA from 1 species
UACCAGCACCCCGAGUGGUCGGGACGUUUAUUGGGCCUAAAGCAUCCGUAGCCGGUUUUACAAGUCUUCCGUUAAAUCCAGCUGCUUAACAGAUGGGCUGCGGAGGAUACUAUAAGGCUAGGAGGCAGGAGAGGCAAGCGGUACUCAGUGGGUAGGGGUAAAAUCCGUUGAUCCAUUGAAGACCACCAGUGGCGAAGGCGGCUGGCUGGACCGGUUCUGACGCUGAGGCACGAAAGCGUGGGGAGCAAACAGG